rnacentral:tRNA from 1 species
UCCACCGUAGCUCAGUUGGUAGAGCAUCUGAUUUCUAAUCAAGAAGGUCGAAGGUUCGAGUCCUUUCGGUGGAG